rnacentral:lncRNA from 1 species
UAAAAAGUAAGACUUGUGAUAAAAAUAUAAAAAAGUUGAACACUUUUAAGAGCAUCCGCAGCGCUGGUGUCGAGCGCCGCGUCGAUCCGGGUCGCUGGAGGGGCUGCCGCGUUGGAGACCUCGGCUGGGUCGAAGCCGCGGCGAAGCUUAGCACCGGUGCUUGGGGGGAGAUAGGGGUAAUCGUGCGUUCCACGCGCGAUUAAAAAAAGAAAAGAAAAAUGCUGUGAAGAGGACGAAGGCUGGGGGAGAAAGAAAUUAGAUGGGGGGACGAAGGCUGUGAAGAGCAAGAAAUUAGAUGGGGGAGAAAAAGAGAAGCAAGUUGCAGAGAAGAAAAAAAGUGGGCUGGGUGGGGAAGAAGGAAGAAAAAAAGCGGUGGGUGGGGUGGGGUGGGGCUUUUAAAAUUUUCUUUUUUGAUUUUGAUUUUAAUUUUAAUUUUUGUUUUUUUAAAUUAUGUAAUAUUUUUUUAUUGUAAUGUUUGAAUUUUAUUUUUAAUAAAAAUUUGAAAUUUUAAAAUUAAAGUGUAGAAUUGGGGAUUUUUUUAAAAAAAAUUGGAUUUGAAGAGCACAUUUGGUCUCGUUUUGGUCCGAUUGAG